UGAAUACAUUGAUGACAUAUAUUGCUUCUACAAGAAAAAUAUUGGUUACAUAUGGGAUUUUCAUGUUCUUGCAAGCAUUGGAUCAGAUUCUAAAGGUAAAAAUCAUUUAUGCUUUUUCUAUUUCUUUUUUUUCCGUGGGAGUUAAUAGAGAGAGAGAAGAAGAAGAGCAUUGAGGAUUUUAAUGUAGAAAGAUAUUUGUAGAAGACAUCUUUCAAGAGAAAGGAUAGGAUGUGUUUGGGUGUUUAUGAGCAUGUUUGACUUCAGACAUGGUGGAUCUAACCAGAAGCUUUUGAUGGAUAAGAAACGUGGAAGCAAAAGAAUCAUAGGUAAUAAUGGAAUGUUUGAGACUAAGGUUGAGAAGCAGCUUACUUGUGACUGUGAGUGAAGCUGAAAUGCAGAGUGUCAAGAUACUAAGAUGAGAUUGAUGAGAAGUCUAAGAAAGGUAAGAGAUGUUUGUGUAUUCAGCAUUUUAUAUAAGACUCUGAUGUUUGUUAUGUAUUGUCUAAUCAAAAACCAGUUUUCAGACAACUUUACAAUUGCUCUGUUUCAUUACGAUGGGAUAGCAAGUGAGUGGAAUGACGAGUUUGAGUGGAGCUAAAUUUGAUUCAAUCUGAAUGUUAAUGUUCUUAAACCAAACCACAAAUCAAAGAGAUAUUGAGUCUGAGAUCGAGGUUCAAGGAAAAGCCGAACGCAUUAUCACAACCCUUAAAUUCGAAAAAGAAGAAGGAGACAUCACUCAACAAGGAAAAGAUACUAACUCUUCAACUAAAGGAAGAGUUAGCAGAGAUAGAGACACGAAAUACAGAGUUGUACAAGAUUGGAUGUGGUGAAGAAGGAGAACACAUUUGCAUGGCUUAUAAAAAGAACCAUUGGGUCUCAUCUCUCCAAUCAUGUUGAGGAGUAAUCAACGACGGUGGAUUGAGGCGUACACGGCGGUGGCACUACCAGAGAGGUUAACUGUUAAAUUUUCUAAAUUCUACUCUUUUAAUCUCUCAAUCAAAUUAUCAGUAGUGGCUACAUGUAAUGGAGACUUAAAACGAAGGAUUCAAAAGUUUGCAGAUUCCUGGUGUGCCGAUUAUGUAUGUGAUGACUUACGGCUAUCCUGAAUUCUAGAAGCUUUGGUAACAAGAUCUGUGGGAUAACAAUUAUAGAAGGGAAAGUCAUGCUAAUAACGUGCUGCUCUCUUUUCUUUUGAUUAUACUUGUGAGCAGAUGCAACAGGUGGCAGAGAUGGUGAGAAUAAGAUAGCUCGAAUGAGAGUCUUGGAGAUGACAAUGUUCAGCAUAAUCAUCACAUGAAGAGCUUACCAUUGGUCCGUACCCCAGGCAUACGUCGUCUUUGAAGACAAGGGAAUCACCACUAACUCAAGGAUCGAUAACACAUCUAUAUGAUCUUUUGGUGAAUGGUAGCUCGGAAUCUUGGAAAAAGUCUGCGUACAUUUCAUCCAACGAUUAGAGAGCAGACUUUUGUUUUUUUUUUAUCUCAAGACUUUAAGAAAAAAAUGAGGUUAGUUUGUAUAUUGGCCAACUAUUUUUGAUUGUUUGGAAAAACUUUGCGUACAUAUCAGCUAACGAUUAGAGAGCACAGGUUUGUUUUUUUUAUCUUAACACUUUGAGCAUGGUGGUAGCAGUCUCUGCCUUUUGGAUUGCUCUUUUGCAGGCUGCAGUUAUUUCGCGAAGCAGUACAUGGUUGCUACCGAUAUACUUUGUAGUGUCCCUGGGAUGCUAUGGUCUAUUAAUAGUUUGAAUUAGUCUAAUGCAGUUCCUACCUGUCCUACAGAUGCAUUCUCUUGCAGCAUGGACUUUCUUUACCCUUUUCUUAAGAGCAGUUCUCUUGCAGCAUGUACUUAACCUUUUUCUUUCGUUGUUAACCUUGAAUUCUCAAAGCUUAUUAGGGUAUAAUUUAGUUCUUUGCAGAAUAUUACAGAGGCAAGCUAAGAGACUUCUUAAGCGUUAAUAGAGCAUUAACCUCUCACCUACCUAACAAUUGUAUUAUAAUAUUGUAUGUGGGAGAUGUACUUUGAGAAAUCAGGGUUAGCAAUUGGAAUUUUUAGGGCUUUAAAUAUGAGCUGAACAAGA